CUACGGGAGGCAGCAGUGGGGAAUCUUGCGCAAUGGGCGAAAGCCUGACGCAGCAACGCCGCGUGGGGGAUGAAGGCUCUCGGGUUGUAAACCCCUUUCAGCAGGGACGAAAUUGACGGUACCUGCAGAAGAAGCCCCGGCUAACUACGUGCCAGCAGCCGCGGUAACACGUAGGGGGCAAGCGUUGUCCGGAUUUAUUGGGCGUAAAGAGCUCGUAGGUGGCUGAGUAAGUCGGGUGUCAAAUCCCCAGGCUCAACCUGGGUUUCCAUCCGAUACUGCUCUGGCUAGAGUCCGGUAGGGGAGCGUGGAAUUCCUGGUGUGGCGGUGAAAUGCGCAGAUAUCAGGAGGAACACCAGAGGCGAAGGCGGCGCUCUGGGCCGGUACUGACACUGAGGAGCGAAAGCGUGGGGAGCAAACGGGAUUAGAUACCCGUGUAGUCC
rnacentral:rRNA from 1 species